rnacentral:rRNA from 1 species
ACGGGGUGCAGCAGGCGCGAAACCUUUGCAAUACACGCAAGUGUGACAGGGUCAUCCCGAGUGCCGACCGCUGAGGUUGGCUUUUACCCAGUCUAGAAAGCUGGGGGAAUAAGGAGAGGGCAAGUCUGGUGUCAGCCGCCGCGGUAAUACCAGCUCUCCGAGUGGUGUGGACGUUUAUUGGGCCUAAAGCAUCCGUAGCUGGCUGAACAAGUCCCCUGUUAAACCCACCGAUUUAAUCGUUGGCUUGCGGGGGAUACUGCUCGGCUAGGGGACGAGAGAGGCAGACGGUAUUCCCGGGGUAGGGGUGAAAUCCUAUAAUCCCGAGAAGACCACCAGUGGCGAAGGCUGUCUGCUAGAACGCGCCCGACGGUGAGGGAUGAAAGCUGGGGGAGCGAACCGGAUUAGAUACCCGGGUAGUCCCAGCUGUAAACGAUGCAGACUAGGUGUUUGGACGGCCACGUGCCGUUCUAGUGCCGCAGGGAAGCUGUUAAGUCUGCCGCCUGGGGAGUACGAUCGCAAGGUUGAAACUUAAAGGAAUUGGCGGGGGAGCAC